GCGAGUAUGGUGAAAUUGGUAUACACAAGGGACUUAAAAUCCCUCGCCUCACGGCAUGACGGUUCAAGUCCGUCUACUCGCA
rnacentral:tRNA from 1 species